rnacentral:lncRNA from 1 species
CAGACGUCUAUUAUCCGGGCCACCUUUAGGGCCAGAUUUUUAGAACCAAUAAUUGUGCUAAAUCAACUAAAGACAAAUCAAUCAAAAGCUAUAUGAACCAUGCAAUUGAGCUAACUUUACUUCUGAGUUUGGCCGUUCAAGCACAAAGCAACCAAGCUAACAAUUCUGAAUUUUAAAAGGGCUUCCAAUCAAAAAAAUUACUUAUUAAUCAUGCUUUGAUCAGUACUUGACUAAUUUCAAAAUAAUUACAAUGUUUUGAGUUUACUUAUAUCUCUAUUUAAAAACAUACAAUUGACAAAUGGGAUCCAAUGAGACUAUUCAACUAACAAUUAUGAAGUUAAACAUUAACCUCAAAAACUAAACAUGCUUAUAAAAUAUAACAUGAGUAAAUCAUCACAUUCUUACAAACCAAUGCUUGGCAUCUUUUAGCGACUUCAAACAGAAUUCCAUACUAAAACAAUGUUAAUUUCAAAUGAAACUAAGCAAAGAUCUAAAACCCAAGCAAAUCUAAUCAAUCUUUUGUUGUGAUAACCUUUAAAGUCCAUAUAUACAAAACAUCAAACUCAUAUUCAUUCAAACCCCAAAUAACUAAAGCAUAUGAUUCGUCUAAUAUUACAAAUGAGCUUAAAGCGUAAAUAGAAGCAAUCCAACCACAAUGAGAACCAAAACUAACUAUGAAACUCAAAGAUUUUCAAAAAUGUAGGAAAAACAACAGACAUUCAAUAAAUUGGUACUCUCUGUAUUUCAAAACUCAAGCAAACAACUUUGUGUUUCUGUAUUUCACAUGUCAUGGGUCAGAAAAUGAGCUAAAUUUUGCACCCUAAACCUUUUGAAAUUUUGGUUUUUGCUUAGACACCCUUAGUGUAAUAUUCAGAAUAUUAGUUAAAUCCUGAUGGAACCUUCCUAGAAGCUGCCUAAAUAAGUUACUAAGAGAUUCUCUGCAAAAAAUUCUCAAAUUUACCCUUUAGGGUCCUGUUAAUUGCCUCUGAAAUCAUGGGUCAAAUUGACCCAAUUCAAAGUGUUAAAUAGGUCUGUAAAAACCCAAUUCACCUCCAUUUUUGGGCUUUUUGAUUUUAAAAUUCAACUCAAGCCCUAGUGAAUGACCAUAUUUAAAUAGGCUAAAAAUAUUUCCACAAGAAAAAUCAGAAAUUAUUUUUUAAAAUAAAACCAAAAAAAGAAAAGGGUAAAUAAACUAAUUAACUAAUCACAUAAGCUAAAUUCGUCAUUAUGCUAAUUAAGCAAACAGAAAAAUGCAAGAAAAUUGACACAUGAUGAAGAAAGGAAAAGAGGAGACAGAAAAAGACAUGCAAGUGAACUGAAGCAGAGAAGAAGGAGAAAAAUGCAAGGAAAGAAAAAGGCUGAAUAAAGCCGAAAUGGGCCAAAUCUUGAAGUUAAAUCCUCGAACCUUCGAUUUUUGCUGAAAUGGGCUGUAAUCAUGUGUUCUCAAAUAAAAACACAUGAAUAAAGCCGGUUUCGACAUCAAAACUUCAAAUAAGCUCAUUGAUUUGAGUUUUAUGUGUUUAGGGUUUUUGUCUUCAGAUUGAUAUUCGAGGGGUUUUGGGGUGAUUCGAGGGAUGGUUAUUGAGGAUUUGGUAUGAGGAGGUGAAUGAGGUCUUGUGGUAUAAAUUUGGGGUCAAAUGGAGGUGGUGCCGCCAUCAAAGAAUGCUAAGGCGGCGCUAGCGUUUUGCACUUUGAACUGAAAUUCGAGCAAUUUCAUAUGCAUUUGAGGUGAACGGAGUGGAGAUUUGAGAUGAGGGGUGAUUCGUGGUCGGCCGCCACUGUAGGCGAUUUUCGGCAUGCGGCGGACAGUGGCAAUUAAGGGGUUUCUGAUGAGAGGGAUGAGAGACGAUGAGGAGGUGCAGGGGUCAUUUGUACAUAUAAAUAUUAAUGACACCCCUAGUUCGAGACUGUUAGAUUACAAAAUUCAAAUGAUAUAGAUCCCUCAACACAAAAUAGGAUAGUUUGAUCAUCAGGGGGCUUGGACCAGGUUUUUAGGACGGGCAUGGGCCAUAUUUUGGGUAUGGAC